UACGUAGGGGGCAAGCGUUGUUCGGAUUUACUGGGCGUAAAGGGCGCGUAGGCGGUCGUGACAAGUCACUUGUGAAAUCUCCGGGCUUAACUCGGAACGGUCAAGUGAUACUGUCGGACUAGAGUACAGAAGGGACAACUGGAAUUCUCGGUGUAGCGGUGAAAUGCGUAGAUAUCGAGAGGAACACCUGCGGCGAAGGCGGGUUGCUGGGCCGACACUGACGCUGAUGCGCGAAAGCCAGGGGAGCGAACGGG
rnacentral:rRNA from 1 species